GCAAGUUCUUCCUUUCAGGGUUGAAGCGUGAGAGAGGUUGGUUUUUGAAACGGGAGUGUUUCAGGUUAUUGAGGUCCAAAAAGAAAUAAAGUUUUUGUUUACGUCUGUAUGGCUUGUAAGAUAUCUCCCGGGGCCAAUUCAGCAUCUCUACCUGGCCAUCCUAACAAGAGUGAAGAUAGUCCAAGUCCUAAGAGACAGCGCCUCUCUCAUUCAGUCUUUGAUUAUACAUCAGCAUCACCAGCUCCCUCACCACCAAUGCGACCAUGGGAGAUGACAUCAAAUAGGCAG
rnacentral:lncRNA from 1 species